AGAGUUUGAUCCUGGCUCAGGAUGAACGCUAGCUACAGGCUUAACACAUGCAAGUCGAGGGGCAGCGGGAUUGAAGCUUGCUUCAAUUGCCGGCGACCGGCGCACGGGUGAGUAACGCGUAUCCAACCUUCCGUACACUCAGGGAUAGCCUUUCGAAAGAAAGAUUAAUACCUGAUAGUAUCUUAAGCACACAUGUAAUUAAGAUUAAAGAUUUAUCGGUGUACGAUGGGGAUGCGUUCCAUUAGGUAGUAGGCGGGGUAACGGCCCACCUAGCCAACGAUGGAUAGGGGUUCUGAGAGGAAGGUCCCCCACAUUGGAACUGAGACACGGUCCAAACUCCUACGGGAGGCAGCAGUGAGGAAUAUUGGUCAAUGGACGAGAGUCUGAACCAGCCAAGUAGCGUGAAGGAUGAAGGUCCUACGGAUUGUAAACUUCUUUUAUAAGGGAAUAAACCCUCCCACGUGUGGGAGCUUGUAUGUACCUUAUGAAUAAGCAUCGGCUAACUCCGUGCCAGCAGCCGCGGUAAUACGGAGGAUGCGAGCGUUAUCCGGAUUUAUUGGGUUUAAAGGGAGCGCAGACGGGUCGUUAAGUCAGCUGUGAAAGUUUGGGGCUCAACCUUAAAAUUGCAGUUGAUACUGGCGUCCUUGAGUGCGGUUGAGGUGUGCGGAAUUCGUGGUGUAGCGGUGAAAUGCUUAGAUAUCACGAAGAACUCCGAUUGCGAAGGCAGCACACUAAUCCGUAACUGACGUUCAUGCUCGAAAGUGUGGGUAUCAAACAGGAUUAGAUACCCUGGUAGUCCACACGGUAAACGAUGGAUACUCGCUGUUGGCGAUAUACUGUCAGCGGCUUAGCGAAAGCGUUAAGUAUCCCACCUGGGGAGUACGCCGGCAACGGUGAAACUCAACAGGUA
rnacentral:rRNA from 1 species